rnacentral:lncRNA from 1 species
GAGUUCCCACUCCACUCCAAGGAUCCAACAGCGCACAAGCUGCUCUUCACGGGCAACUACCUCUGCAAGCUUCACCCCCGGCCCCGCCACGCCCCGCAGGGUUCCCUGUCUGGUCUGGAUCACCUCGCUCUCCCUGCGCCUCUCUCCUUGGCCUAGCUAGACAAGUGCUUCUCACGAUCCAGCGCGUUUACCGCUCGGUUUCGUCGCCGCUAAGGGGUGGUGGUGUCUGAUCCGUCAGGCUCUGCGCUUCUCUCUCGGAUCCAUCCUCAAUGUCCAGGCAGGACUCUCACAUGAAGCCGGUGCUGUCUGCUGUUCACUCUAAGAUGUCCAGCCACUCAGGACAGUUACGAUCUGUCAUCCAGGGCCCAAACCGACUCUCCUCUAUUGCUAUCUGAGGUAGGCAGUCUCCUCUGUGAGGUCGGUCCCAUCCAUACUGCCUAGAUCCCUGCGCAGGAAGACUGAGAUGAGGACCCUAGGAGACAGCAGCCAGGGAUAGCGAAGGUGGAGGAUGAGUAUAAAUAGCGACCCCAGCGCGAUCAGAGAAGCUCCCUUACCCCCACCCAUCGCAGUGGGAGUGAGUCUUCAGAUCUACCCCCAAGACAACGAAAUCCUACCCGGGCCAUUGAAGGGAAACCUCCACUCCAACCCCCAGAAGACGCCUUAGAUGAGAAAGUGAAGAGAUAUUGUAUGAGCUCAUUCAUCAAAGGCCAUGCCAUCACCAGCUCAGGCAGUGCUGCUAGGGGAUUCCUGCCUCUCUGGAGGUCCAGUUCUCUCUGAAGACAGAGAAGAUGCAGGGAGGAAGGGUUUCAAACAGGAACUCUCAACCCACGUCUGCCAGUUGUAGACUCUGUAAACAAAGUUCCAACUCGCCCGCUGCUGCCACUGCCGCUGCUAUUUUUUGAGGUCAAGGCUCUUCCACCUGUAUGCCCAUCUUCAUAGACCGGCCCAUCACUGGUGCCUCAAGCAUUUUCACUAUCACAGCCAGUAAUCUGCAGACUCAACCUCAAGCCUACUUUGUACUUUGGUAUAAACUGCAUGGAUACCAAUCCCUUUUCACAGGUUUUCAUCUCCUGGUCUCCCAUAGGAUCCAGGAUGAGUAUCCUCCCAUUUGACCAGUUCCAUCCCAGUAUGGAGCAGAUAUCCCUUGUAAAGAACACAGUCUCCACCAGCCCACCUGCUUUUAUGGUCAACAGCCCUACCUGAAUUUCCAACAUUGCCUUUUGACCCAAGAAACACCUAUCACCUGAAAUCUAGGGUUCCAGACAGGCAUCAACAGGAAACCACUCUCUUCAAUGCCCUGUCUUUUCUGGCCCACCUACCACUGCUUCUGCAGUCACCUCCACUAUAGUAAGCAGACCCUCUUCAGACUUGGCAUCCAAGCCUGCCUUUUACUCUGAUGAAAUCAACAUGGAUACCAUGCCCAUUUCCCCAUCUGUUAUCUUCCUGUCUCUCCCUGCAAUGUUAACAGCUGUUUCCCUUUGAAGAACCUGGCAGCCCCCAGAAAUCCUUCCUACUUAACCUCUACUGCAGCCCUGGAACCCAAUGACAGCACCACUCAGGCAGCUUUUGGGAAUUUGACUCCCCCAUGUCCACCUUUGGCAUCUGCUAUGGUUUGAAUGUGUCAACCAAAUUUCGUGUAUUAAAAACUCAAUCCCCA